CUUUCUCCGCCGGCGACCGGCGCACGGGUGAGUAACACGUAUGCAACCUGCCCCUGUCAAGGGGACAACCCGCCGAAAGGCGGGCUAAACCCGCGUACAUGCCACCGGGGCAUCCCGGAGGCAGGAAAAGGCUUCGGCCGGACAGGGAUGGGCAUGCGGCGCAUUAGGCAGUAGGCGGGGUAACGGCCCACCUAACCGACGAUGCGUAGGGGUUCUGAGAGGAAGGUCCCCCACACUGGUACUGAGACACGGACCAGACUCCUACGGAAGGCAGCAG
rnacentral:rRNA from 1 species